rnacentral:lncRNA from 1 species
AGGCAGUCUGUCUCCUUGGGAUAAGGAAGGAUUUGGAACUCAGCGACUGUGAGGUCUUGGCCUCUACUGUGUUUUCUGGUUUGUUUUGUUAGCAGGGGCAAGUUAUUCUAGUUUCUUGCUUCUGGGGUUUUCUUCUGCACACUUAUAAGCUGAGUCUCCACCCCAUGGAUGGCAAUGGGGUGGAUGGAAUGGGAUAAUGAAAGGGGUGGAGAGAGAAGUUGAUUCAGCUGCUUAGGAUGAGGGAGGCAAAGAAACUUCAAACCUCAGAGCUAGCUUCUGAGUCCAUCAACGGUGGAGAGGAAAGGGGCACCCCCAAGGAUGGAAGUGCCCCCAAUCCAGAGAGAAGCUGGUCUCUCAGACAGUACUAUGGCUAGUUCAUUAGGAAAACCAGCUUAAUGUCUGGAUGGUGAUCUUAUUACCCAUGAAAAGGUUAAGAUGUAGUAGUUUAUAGUAUUUAGAAGAGUAAUCCAUGAAGUGUAUUCACAAGUAAUCAG